GGACUACUGGGGUUUCUAAUCCCAUUCGCUACCCACGCUUUCGUGCUUGAGUGUCAGGAACGCGCCAGUGCACUGCCUUCGCUUUCGGUGUUCCCCAUGAUAUCAACGGAUUUCACCCCUACACCAUGGGUUCCAUGCACCUCUCACGCCCUCGAGUCGUACCGUUUCGUCCGCGUUUUCCCGGUUGAGCCGGAAGAUUUAACGGACGACUAAUACGACCACCUACGCACCCUUUACGCCCAGUAAUUCCGGGUAAUGCUUGAGGCCUCUGUAUUACCGCGGCUGCUGGCAC
rnacentral:rRNA from 1 species